CCUACGGGAGGCAGCAGUGGGGAAUAUUGCACAAUGGGCGGAAGCCUGAUGCAGCAACGCCGCGUGCGGGAUGACGGCCUUCGGGUUGUAAACCGCUUUCGCCUGUGACGAAGCGUGAGUGACGGUAAUGGGUAAAGAAGCACCGGCUAACUACGUGCCAGCAGCCGCGGUGAUACGUAGGGUGCGAGCGUUGUCCGGAUUUAUUGGGCGUAAAGGGCUCGUAGGUGGUUGAUCGCGUCGGAAGUGUAAUCUUGGGGCUUAACCCUGAGCGUGCUUUCGAUACGGGUUGACUUGAGGAAGGUAGGGGAGAAUGGAAUUCCUGGUGGAGCGGUGGAAUGCACAGAUAUCAGGAGGAACACCAGUGGCGAAGGCGGUUCUCUGGGCCUUUCCUGACGCUGAGGAGCGAAAGCGUGGGGAGCGAACAGGCUUAGAUACCCUGGUAGUCCACGCUGUAAACGGUGGGUACUAGGUGUGGGGUCCAUUCCACGGGUUCCGUGCCGUAGCUAACGCUUUAAGUACCCCGCCUGGGGAGUACGGCCGCAAGGCUAAAACUCAAAGGAAUUGACGGCUGAGCNGCGACGACGACACGAGGGAGAG
rnacentral:rRNA from 1 species